UACGAAGGGGGCUAGCGUUGCUCGGAAUUACUGGGCGUAAAGGGAGCGUAGGCGGAUAUUUAAGUUGGGGGUGAAAGCCCAGGGCUCAACCCUGGAACUGCCUUCAAUACUGGAUAUCUAGAGUAUGGGAGAGGUGUGUGGAACUCCGAGUGUAGAGGUGAAAUUCGUAGAUAUUCGGAAGAACACCAGUGGCGAAGGCGACACACUGGCCCAUUACUGACGCUGAGGCUCGAAAGCGUGGGGAGCAAACAGG
rnacentral:rRNA from 1 species